rnacentral:rRNA from 1 species
AGAGUUUGAUCCUGGCUCAGGAUGAACGCUAGCGACAGGCUUAACACAUGCAAGUCGAGGGGCAGCACAGGUAGCAAUACCGGGUGGCGACCGGCGCACGGGUGAGUAACGCGUAUGCAACUUACCUAUCAGAGGGGGAUAACCCGGCGAAAGUCGGACUAAUACCGCAUGAAGCAGGGGCCCCGCAUGGGGAUAUUUGCUAAAGAUUCAUCGCUGAUAGAUAGGCAUGCGUUCCAUUAGGCAGUUGGCGGGGUAACGGCCCACCAAACCGACGAUGGAUAGGGGUUCUGAGAGGAAGGUCCCCCACAUUGGUACUGAGACACGGACCAAACUCCUACGGGAGGCAGCAGUGAGGAAUAUUGGUCAAUGGGCGUAAGCCUGAACCAGCCAAGUCGCGUGAGGGAUGAAGGUUCUAUGGAUCGUAAACCUCUUUUAUAAGGGAAUAAAGUGCGGGACGUGUCCCGUUUUGUAUGUACCUUAUGAAUAAGGAUCGGCUAACUCCGUGCCAGCAGCCGCGGUAAUACGGAGGAUCCGAGCGUUAUCCGGAUUUAUUGGGUUUAAAGGGUGCGUAGGCGGCCUUUUAAGUCAGCGGUGAAAGUCUGUGGCUCAACCAUAGAAUUGCCGUUGAAACUGGGAGGCUUGAGUAUGUUUGAGGCAGGCGGAAUGCGUGGUGUAGCGGUGAAAUGCUUAGAUAUCACGCAGAACCCCGAUUGCGAAGGCAGCCUGCCAAGCCAUGACUGACGCUGAUGCACGAAAGCGUGGGGAUCAAACAGGAUUAGAUACCCUGGUAGUCCACGCAGUAAACGAUGAUCACUAGCUGUUUGCGAUACACGUGUAAGCGGCACAGCGAAAGCGUUAAGUGAUCCACCUGGGGAGUACGCCGGCAACGGUGAAACUCAAAGGAAUUGACGGGGGCCCGCACAAGCGGAGGAACAUGUGGUUUAAUUCGAUGAUACGCGAGGAACCUUACCCGGGUUUGAACGCAUUCGGACCGAGGUGGAAACACCUUCUUCUAGCAAUAGCCGUUUGCGAGGUGCUGCAUGGUUGUCGUCAGCUCGUGCCGUGAGGUGUCGGCUUAAGUGCCAUAACGAGCGCAACCCUUGCCACUAGUUACUAACAGGUAAAGCUGAGGACUCUGGUGGGACUGCCAGCGUAAGCUGCGAGGAAGGCGGGGAUGACGUCAAAUCAGCACGGCCCUUACAUCCGGGGCGACACACGUGUUACAAUGGCGUGGACAAAGGGAGGCCACCUGGCGACAGGGAGCGAAUCCCCAAACCACGUCUCAGUUCGGAUCGGAGUCUGCAACCCGACUCCGUGAAGCUGGAUUCGCUAGUAAUCGCGCAUCAGCCAUGGCGCGGUGAAUACGUUCCCGGGCCUUGUACACACCGCCCGUCAAGCCAUGGGAGCCGGGGGUACCUGAAGUCCGUAACCGAAAGGAUCGGCCUAGGGUAAAACUGGUGACUGGGGCUAAGUCGUAACAAGGUA